AAGACUAUAGACCUGCGGAGUACCUGCGGAAGGAUCAUUAUUGAAGUCUCUGAGAGGUUUCGUUGCUGACUCUCCGGAGUAUGUGCACGCCUCUCACACUUUAUUCAACCACCUGUGCACCUCUCGUAGCUUCUCAGAUGCUUUCAGUCUUCGGACUGGUGGGGACUGCUGCAGUGACUCUGCUCACAGCUUCAGUCCGAUAUCUGAGGGGUUGCGCACUACACAAACUCUGUUAAAGUU
rnacentral:misc_RNA from 1 species